UACGUAGGGACCGAGCGUUUGUCCGGAUUCAUUGGGCGUAAAGGGCUCGUAGGCGGCUGCUCAAGUCGAAUGUGAAAACUCGAGGCUCAACCUCGAGCCUGCAUUCGAUACUGGGCGGCUAGAGUCUGGUAGGGGGGAUCUGGAAUUCCUGGUGUAGCGGUGGAAUGCGCAGAUAUCAGGAGGAACACCGGUGGCGAAGGCGGGAUCCUGGGCCAGUACUGACGCUGAUGAGCGAAAGCGUGGGGAGCAAACAGG
rnacentral:rRNA from 1 species